GUUGAACGCUGGCGGCGGGCCUAAUACAUGCAAGUCGAGCGGUAACACGAAUCACUUUCCCCUCUCGCGUUCGCGGCGCACGGGUGUGUAACACGUGUGUGAACCUCCUAGAUGGCUGGGAUAACUUCGUGAAACCGGUGCUAAUACCGGCUAAACUUCUCAACCGCAUGGUGCAAGACUUACAGACCGCUUGCCUGCGGCUGAUAGAUGAUUCCGCGACGCAUUAGCUAGUGGGUCAGGUAACGGCUUACCAAGGCCACGAUGCGUAGCCGAUCUGAGAGGAUGACCAGCCACACUGGAACUGAGACACGGUCCAGACUCCUACGGGAGGCAGCAGUGGGGAAUCUUGCGCAAUGGGCGAAAGCCUGACGGAGCAACGCCGCGUGAGUGAAGAAGGCCUUCGGGUUGUAAAGUUCUUUUAGUAGGGAGGAAGAGAGGAGUAUGUAAACCUGCACUCAUUGACGUUACCUAAUGAGAAAGCAACGGCUAACUCCGUG
rnacentral:rRNA from 1 species